UGCAGUAUCCAAUGGCAAUCAAGCGCUUCGCCUUCGCAGAGAUUGGCAGAUGCUCGAACCACUGAGGUGCCGCGGAGGGAUACCCGCCGUGGAAAGUAAGGUUCAAACCUGUGUGUUUUGUCCCCCUGCGGGCUUCCUCCGAGUGCGUAAAGUGAGCGAUUAGUUAACGCGUAAAUGAAGGGCCUUUCCUCAGAUCAUGGCUUUCAACCAAGGCUGCGGAGUUUGUGAGAAGUGGAGCCUGGACAUGGAUCCCAGACGUGAGGGUGGUGGUGCGUCCAGAUGGCACAGGGAGAAGCAGAGCCUCUCGCUCCUGCCCUUCAGUGCCUGGUGCCACAGGCUGCCUGUGGCCUGGGGGCACAGGAGGCCCCGUCUGUCUGGGCACAGCCCUGCGUCCACUUGCCGUCUUCCAGGCCUAGACAGCUGCCCAGAAGAAGACUCUUCCGGCCACAAAUGGACUUGAUGGUGUCCCAGUGAGGCAGCGAAGGAAGGACAGGGGGCAGGAGGAGAGGAAAAGGAAGCACAGUGCCACCAGGGCAGUGCCACCUGCAGGGCAGCCCCGGAGACCUGCCCGCUGUGUGCGUUCAGGGAAUAGCGAGAUAAAACCAGGUACGUGGGUCCUUGAGACCCCAGAAAGGGGACAAACAAUUCUCGAAUCAUAACAUUUUUAAAAGCUUGGCAAAAAAGAUAAAAAUAAUUUUUAAGAGUAAAAAGCACUGACGUGUGGGUAUAACCACGGGCAAGAGAGCAGCCCGCCCGCCGUGCCGACUGUCAGCAAAGAAGCCAAAGGGAUUCCAGCAGCAGGUGGAGGGGGCCGAGAACGGGUCUAGCGACGGGAGAGGAGAGGAGGUGCCUGUCCCUGCGUUGCUGACUUCAGGGCCUCAGAAUGCCCGGCCUCUUUUAAUUCUGUGUUGAUUUCGUUUUAUUCCAGCAAAUAAAAAAUAUAAGAACAUCAUGGCUUCUUCCUAACUCACUUGGCUCUGAAAUGUUCCGCCGGCGGGGAGAUCAGACAGCC